rnacentral:rRNA from 1 species
AGUUUGAUCCUGGCUCAGGAUGAACGCUAGCGGCAGGCUUAAUACAUGCAAGUCGUGGGGCAGCAGGUUUGUAGCAAUACAGAUGCUGGCGACCGGCAAACGGGUGCGGAACACGUACAGAACCUUCCUUUGAGCGGGGAAUAGCCCAGAGAAAUUUGGAUUAAUACCCCAUAGUAUAAUGAAGUGGCAUCACUUUAUUAUUAAAGAUUUAUCACUCGAAGAUGGCUGUGCGGCUGAUUAGGUAGUUGGCGGGGUAAAGGCCCACCAAGCCUGCGAUCAGUAACUGGUGUGAGAGCACGACCAGUCACACGGGCACUGAGACACGGGCCCGACUCCUACGGGAGGCAGCAGUAAGGAAUAUUGGUCAAUGGAGGCAACUCUGAACCAGCCAUGCCGCGUGGAGGAUGAAGGUCCUCUGGAUUGUAAACUUCUUUUAUAUGGGACGAAAAAGGCUUUUCUAAGUCGUCUGACGGUACCAUAUGAAUAAGCACCGGCUAACUCCGUG